rnacentral:lncRNA from 1 species
UUUGUUGGAGUCUGACGUAAGUCCAACGAUUGGCAGUUGGUUUCCUGCAUGUGUGUUUGUUGGUUCGGAGUCUGAUGUAAGUCCAGCGAUUGGCAUUCGGUUUCCAUGUUUGCCUGUUUUGUGUGGAGUCUGACGUAAGCCCAGCGAUUGGCAGUCGGUUUCCCGUGUGGUUUUGUUUGGCGUGCGUUAGCCGAGCUACGAGUGCUUUUAUUCUUCUCCUGUUAGAGAAGAUACGUAUGCAUAGGAUGCGACAUCCUAGCGAGCACGUUUUC